rnacentral:tRNA from 1 species
GCCCAGGUGGUGAAAUUGGUAGACACAAGGGACUUAAAAUCCCUCGGUAGAAAUACCGUGCCGGUUCGAUUCCGGCCCUGGGCACCA